rnacentral:rRNA from 2 species
GACGAACGCUGGCGGUGUGCUUAACACAUGCAAGUCGAACGGUAAGGCCCUUUCGGGGGUACACGAGUGGCGAACGGGUGAGUAACACGUGAGUAACCUGCCCUCAUCUCUGGGAUAACAGUCGGAAACGGUUGCUAAUACUGGAUAUGAGCUUGCAAGGCAUCUUGUGGGUUGGAAAGAUUUUUUGGUUGGGGAUGGACUCGCGGCCUAUCAGCUUGUUGGUGAGGUAGUGGCUCACCAAGGCUUCGACGGGUAGCCGGCCUGAGAGGGCGACCGGCCACAUUGGGACUGAGAUACGGCCCAGACUCCUACGGGAGGCAGCAGUGGGGAAUAUUGCACAAUGGACGGAAGUCUGAUGCAGCAACGCCGCGUGCGGGGAUGACGGCCCUUUCGGGUUUGUAAAA